CUGGCUCAGGAUGAACGCUGGCGGCGUGCUUAACACAUGCAAGUCGAACGAAGCAGCUUCUGCUGCAAGAAAGCUGACUUAGUGGCGGACGGGUGAGUAACGCGUGGGUAACCUGCCUCAUACAGGGGGAUAACAGUUGGAAACGACUGCUAAGACCGCAUAACCCGCUAGUGUCGCAUGACACGGACGGAAAAUAUUUAUAGGUAUGAGAUGGGCCCGCGUCUGAUUAGCUAGUUCGGUGAGGUAACGGCUUACCAAGGCGACGAUCAGUAGCCGACUUGAGAGAGUGAUCGGCCACAUUGGGACUGAGACACGGCCCAAACUCCUACGGGAGGCAGCAGUGGGGAAUAUUGGACAAUGGGGGAAACCCUGAUCCAGCGAACCGCCGCGUGAGUGAAGAAGUAUUUCGGUAUGUAAAGCUCUAUCAGCAGGGAAGAUAAUGACAGUACCUGACUAAGAAGCCCCGGCUAACUACGUGCCAGCAGCCGC
rnacentral:rRNA from 1 species